GAUGAACGCUAGCGGCAGGCUUAACACAUGCAAGUCGAGGGGUAUAGUUCUUCGGAACUGGAGACCGGCGCACGGGUGCGUAACGCGUAUGCAAUCUACCUUUUACAGGGGGAUAGCCCAGAGAAAUUUGGAUUAAUACCCCAUAGUAUGUUAGAGUGGCAUCAUUUUAACAUUAAAGUUCCAACGGUAAAAGAUGAGCAUGCGUCCCAUUAGCUAGAUGGUAAGGUAACGGCUUACCAUGGCGACGAUGGGUAGGGGUCCUGAGAGGGAGAUCCCCCACACUGGUACUGAGACACGGACCAGACUCCUACGGGAGGCAGCAGUGAGGAAUAUUGGACAAUGGGCGCAAGCCUGAUCCAGCCAUGCCGCGUGCAGGAAGACGGUCCUAUGGAUUGUAAACUGCUUUUGUACAGGAAGAAACACUCCCUCGUGAGGGAGCUUGACGGUACUGUAAGAAUAAGGAUCGGCUAACUCCGUGCCAGCAGCCGCCGUAGCAC
rnacentral:rRNA from 1 species